GACGAACGCUGGCGGCGUGCCUAAUACAUGCAAGUAGAACGCUGAGGGAGGAGCUUGCUUCUCUGGAUGAGUUGCGAACGGGUGAGUAACGCGUAGGUAACCUGCCUGGUAGCGGGGGAUAACUAUUGGAAACGAUAGCUAAUACCGCAUAAUAGUAGAUGUCGCAUGACAUUUGCUUAAAAGGUGCAAUUGCAUCACUACCAGUUGGACCUGCGUUGUAUUAGCUAGUUGGUGAGGUAACGGCUCACCAAGGUAACGAUACAUAGCCGACCUGAGAGGGUGAUCGGCCACACUGGGACUGAGACACGGCCCAGACUCCUACGGGAGGCAGCAGUAGGGAAUCUUCGGCAAUGGACGGAAGUCUGACCGAGCAACGCCGCGUGAGUGAAGAAGGUUUUCGGAUCGUAAAGCUCUGUUGUAAGAGAAGAACGAGUGUGAGAGUGGAAAGUUCACACUGUGACGGUAUCUUACCAGAAAGAGACGGCUAACUACGUG
rnacentral:rRNA from 1 species